GCCUAAAUCCGCUUCAAUUGAAGAGUUUUAAUUAGGUUUGGGCCAACUAAACAUAUGCAACAAAGGGAGGGAAUAAAUAAUUUUAGGGAUAAAAUUUUGUAGGAAAUCCAUUACCAAUAUCAUGAAUACAUAAAUCUUUAUUCAAUUCAAACCCCAUACAUUUACUUGAGAAAUAUAACAUUUGAAAGGACCAAACUAUUAGAAGUUCGAUACAUUCUGCCGGUAAAAGAACAGUCCAGAUGGGGGCGUGGCCAUCCCAUCCGGCAGCAUUGCCAGCUUCAACAGACUAUCUGCACCCUCUUCAACAGUCAAUGAACCAGUAUUGGCAUUUAUAUCAGUUUUCACAUAUCCAGGACACACGCAGUUGAUGUAGAAAUUAGGGUAUUUUUUGGCAAUAAUUCUUGUAUAGGCAUUAAUGGCAGACUUCGACAAUCUGUAUGCAGGUACAUGUUCCGGCCAGCCAUUGACUUUCAAUGAGUUUUCUUUGAAGUCUUGAAGAAACUUGUUGAGCACAUUAUCUACUUUAUCUUCUGUGAGUUCUUCUGCAUUGCAUAGCACUUGUUUUGCCCAUUCAUUGGACUGAAACUGGAUGUGGGAUCAGGAGAAAUAGCAUAUGUCAGGUUCUUGAAGAGUUGUGUU
rnacentral:lncRNA from 1 species